rnacentral:misc_RNA from 1 species
UCCCACCCAACUAGAGGAGCCUGUUCUAUAAUCGAUGAUCCCCGAUACACCCAACCAUUUUUUGCUUUUCAGUCUGUAUACCUCCGUCGCAAGCUUACCAUGUGAACGCAUAAUAGCAAGCCCGAGGGCUAAAACGCCACAACGUCAGGUCAAGGUGCAGCUCAUAAAAUGGAAAGCAUGGGCUACAAUUUCUAACUUAGAACAAACGAAAUACUACAUGAAACAUAGUCAUGAAGGCGGAUUUAGAAGUAAAUAGGGAAUAGAGAGCCCUACUAAACUCGGCCCUGGGACGUGUACAAACCGCCCGUCACCCUCUUCGAUAGCCAUAUAUAGCUUCCUAACCCCUACCUGCACUUUAGAAGAGGCAAGUCGUAACAUGGUAAGUGUACUGGAAAGUGCACUUGGAAACAAAAUGUAGCUUAACCAAAGCCUCUUGCUUACACCAAGAAAAUACCUGUUUAACCCAGAUCAUUUUGAGCCUAAAAUCUAGCCUAACAAUUUUAUAUUAACAUACUAUAACAUUUUUCUUCCCCUAAAACAUUUUAACUUCUUAGUAGAGGUGAUCGAAAAACUUUUAAGCGCAUCAGAAGUAGUACCGCAAGGGAAAAAUGAAACAAAAAUGAAAUAAAUUUAAAGCCUCUUACAGCAGAGAUGAUAUCUCGUACCUUUUGCAUCAUGGUCUAGCUAGUCCAAUCAAGCAAAAUAAAUAUUUCAGUUUGCCCCCCCGAAACUAAGUGAGCUACUUCAAAACAGCUUCAAGAGCCAACCCGUCUCUGUGGCAAUAGAGUGGGAUGAUUUUCAAGUAGAAGUGACAAGCCUACCGAACUUAGAGAUAGCUGGUUAUUCAGGAAAAGAAUAUUAGUUCUGCCUUAAAUCUUACUAUGCCAAUCAACAACCUCAAAGAUUUAAGAGUUAUUCAAUUAAGGUUCAGCUUACUUGAAACAGGACACAACCUAUACAACAGGGUAAACCAUUAAUUUUACAGCAAGUGGGCCUAAGAGCAGCCACCUUUUAAAAAGCGUUAAAGCUUAACCUAAUUUUAUACUAAAUUCCACCAUUUCUCAUGAACCCUUAACUAUUACUGAAUGACUCCAUAAGUCUAUGGAAAACACCAUGCUAGAACUAGUAACAAGAAUAUGUAUUCUCCAAGAUGUAAGCAUAAGCCAGAAUGGAUUCUCCACUGGCAAUUAACGAAAAUGAAACAACUGCAGAAACUCUAACAAGAAAACCCUGCACUCCUACCCCGUUAAUCUAACACCAGGACAUCCCCGGAAAGAUUAAAAGAGAAAGAAGGAACUCGGCAAAUCUCAGCCCCGCCUGUUUACCAAAAACACCGCCUCUUGCUUAACAAUAAGAGGUCUAGCCUGCCCAGUGACACAGUUCAACGGCCGCGGUAAACUAACCGUGCGAAGGUAGCAUAAUCACUCGUUCUUUAAAUAAGGACUCGUAUCAACGGCAUCACGAGGGUUGCACUGUCUCCUUUCUCCAAUCAGUGAAACUGAUCUCCCCGUGAAAAAGCGGGGAUACUAAUAUAAGACGAGAAGACCCCAUGGAGCUUUAAACCCACAGCAACUCAAUAAUAUAAUCCUAAAAAUCACAGAGCACUGCACGUCGGCUUUAGGUUGGGGUGACCACGGAGUAAAAAUUAACCUCCAUGACGAAAAGAGCUAAAUCUUUAUCCAAGAGUUACUACUCUAAGAAUUAAUAUAAUAACGUAAAAUGACCCAUUAAUGAUCAACGGACCAAGUUACCCUGGGGAUAACAGCGCAAUCUACUUCAAGAGUUCCUAUCGACAAGUAGGCUUACGACCUCGAUGUUGGAUCAGGGCAUCCC